rnacentral:rRNA from 1 species
AUGAACGCUGGCGGCGUGCCUAAUACAUGCAAGUCGAGCGAACGGACGAGAAGCUUGCUUCUCUGAUGUUAGCGGCGGACGGGUGAGUAACACGUGGAUAACCUACCUAUAAGACUGGGAUAACUUCGGGAAACCGGAGCUAAUACCGGAUAAUAUUUUGAACCGCAUGAUUCAAAAGUGAAAGACGGUCUUGCUGUCACUUAUAGAUGGAUCCGCGCUGCAUUAGCUAGUUGGUAAGGUAACGGCUUACCAAGGCAACGAUGCAUAGCCGACCUGAGAGGGUGAUCGGCCACACUGGAACUGAGACACGGUCCAGACUCCUACGGGAGGCAGCAGUAGGGAAUCUUCCGCAAUGGGCGAAAGCCUGACGGAGCAACGCCGCGUGAGCGAUGAAGGUCUUCGGAUCGUAAAACUCUGUUAUUAGGGAAGAACAUAUGUGUAAGUAACUGUGCACAUCUUGACGGUACCUAAUCAGAAAGCCACGGCUAACUACGUGCCAGCAGCCGCGGUAAUACGUAGGUGGCAAGCGUUAUCCGGAAUUAUUGGGCGUAAAGCGCGCGUAGGCGGUUUUUUAAGUCUGAUGUGAAAGCCCACGGCUCAACCGUGGAGGGUCAUUGGAAACUGGAAAACUUGAGUGCAGAAGAGGAAAGUGGAAUUCCAUGUGUAGCGGUGAAAUGCGCAGAGAUAUGGAGGAACACCAGUGGCGAAGGCGACUUUCUGGUCUGUAACUGACGCUGAUGUGCGAAAGCGUGGGGAUCAAACAGGAUUAGAUACCCUGGUAGUCCACGCCGUAAACGAUGAGUGCUAAGUGUUAGGGGGUUUCCGCCCCUUAGUGCUGCAGCUAACGCAUUAAGCAC